rnacentral:rRNA from 1 species
UCGGGAAUUUUGGGCAAUGGGCGAAAGCCUGACCCAGCAACGCCGCGUGAAGGAUGAAGUAUUUCGGUAUGUAAACUUCGAAAGAAUGGGAAGAAUAAAUGACGGUACCAUUUAUAAGCUCCGGCUAACUACGUGCCAGCAGCCGCGGUAAUACGUAGGGAGCAAGCGUUGUUCGGAUUUACUGGGCGUAAAGGGCGCGUAGGCGGCGCGGUAAGUCACUUGUGAAAUCUCUGAGCUUAACUCAGAACGGCCAAGUGAUACUGCAGUGCUAGAGUGCAGAAGGGGCAAUCGGAAUUCUUGGUGUAGCGGUGAAAUGCGUAGAUAUCAAGAGGAACACCUGAGGCGAAGGCGGGUUGCUGGGCUGAUACUGACGCUGAGGCGCGAAAGCUAGGGUAGCAAACGGGAUUAGAUACCCUUGUAGUCCCUGAGCGGGCUGGCAAGGCGCAU